UGUGCCUGUCAGCUGCAUUUUCAUUAAAUCUCCUCUGACAAUAUGGACAUUGAAUGUAAUCAGGGUCAUAUGAUGGAGGAGGCGGUGGAGGGAGUUUUCCACCAUCUUUAAGAUUAAGUCCUUUGGCUGCUCGUAUAGUUGCUAUGAAUUCUUCAUGCUUUCGUCUCCAAUUGGAUGGCUUUUUGGGGGGUUCUGGCCGUGGCUUAAGAGGUU
rnacentral:lncRNA from 1 species